CAUGGCACACAGUGAAAGCAACACCCAUCCUAAGCCACACCACAUAAAGAGAUCUCGACAGAGCAAAACAACAACCGUUGUUCAAUAGGAUAUGCAACAUCUACAAGUGAGGAGAAAUAACAGGAAAACACCCUUCAGAUCAGAGGCUCUCCGCAGGAAUUUAUGUGAAAAGAGAGGGUACAUUUGGACGAGUGGCUAGCCAGCCAGUCAGAUGACUUAAGAUCGUUCACAGCUUUGUGGAAGUUACCUGUGGUGCUGAUGUUUAGGCAGAGAACCUGAGCCCUAGGACCAUACGUCAGGACUACCGGGCAUGACGACUCCCUGCUGCCCCCAGUCCGCCUGGCCUUGCUGCUAUUCCAGUUUCAACGGUUCUGCCUGCGGUUACGGAACCCCUACCUGUCCCAGACCUGCUGUUUUCAACUCUUAAUGAUCGGCUAUGAAAAGCCAACAGAUUUAUUCCUGAUUAUUAUUUGACCAUGCUUGUCAUUUAUGAACAUUUUGAAAAUCUUGGCUCUCUCUAAUUUUCUCCUUCUCUCUUUCUUUCUCUCGGAGGACCUGAGCCCUGGGACCAUACGUCGGGACUGCCGGGCGUGGUGGCUCCUUGCUGUCCCCAGUCCGCCUGG